UGGAAGAAGUCUGGGGGCACAGUGCGAGCAAAGUAAUCAUAUCGGGACUUGUCACUCAGCUUGGCACUCGUGGAGGCAUAGCUGAUCUGUGGGAUCUGAAACAGCCGCAGGAGAUUGGCCACCUGGGCAAGAAAUCUCCCUGAGCCUCAGGUUCUCGGGCUUGAAUCACAAGUUGCUGAGCCGUUGAAAUUAACCUGUGUGGAGCCUUUGGUUCUAGCAUGUGGAGACUGACAGAAGCAUGUGGAAGGUCAGGGGUCUAAACCCUGACAAUGGCAAUGACCGAAGGAAACCGAGGCUGUCACCAAGGUCCCCAGAUAGUCCCCAGCCCUGAUUCCAGUUCUGCUCUGAUCUCUCUGCACCUGCACUGGACACAGACAGGAGAGGACAUCGGUGAGGAGACCCGGUCAGGAAGGGGGAAGAUCCCAGUUAGGCCAAAGCAGCCAAGUGAGGCCAGCGCGCAGUCCAGAGUGCAGUGGGCAAGUCGGCUGGAUCCGCAGCUGAAGCCUAGCAGGGGCACCCUCUGCUGACCCCUUGUGGAAGAAUGAGUGGUGGUGGUGGGCUCCCCAGCCUUCCCCUCCCUCAAAUUCUGCAUCACCUGAAGAUCUUAGACUGCCCUCCCCACUCACUCUCACCCAACCUCUCUUCCCCCUGGCUCCUCCCCCCCCCUCCUCCCCGCACCUUGUUUCUUUGGCCGCUCCAGGCUUCUGUCUACACUGUCAAAUCCAAAUAGAAAGGAUCUGGCCGACUAGCUGGAGCGCCCUGAUUUCAUACUUCCUUUUGGUUACCACAUUGAUUUAUGACCUGCUUCCCCCUGAACCUGUUUUAAAUACUGAUUAAUACUGAUAGCAGCUUAUAUUGAC